CAAACAUAGAAAAUUAAACAGAAAAUGCAGUAAAGGGAUUCUCGGAUUUGUGCCGAAAUGCAGGAAGGCUUCCACAGACCCAUUUGGAUGUGAAGUUGACCGUUGAAUCCGUCGGAGCAGCGCAUGCCAUCACGGCUCCCACCGGCUGCCACCGCUGCCGCUGCUGGAAACUGAUAGCCGACCGCGGCAACGGUGUGACUCUUUCCCCAGCCAGCCCGCCGCGGUAAUCCUUCUAAACCCCGCGAGGCAAGAGAAGCACAAUGUGUGUAUUUGAUCAUAAGACAAAGAACUGGACUAGAGGAAAAGACAGAGAAUAACCAGAGUUAUUGAAACUCAUCCUCUG